GUUCCCGUUGAUCCUGCGGGAGAUCGCUGCUAUUGGAAUUCGACUAAGCCAUGCAAGUCUUUCUGAGCAAUCAGAGGCAUAAGGCUCAGUAACACGUCGGUAACCUGCCCUAAGGUCAGGGAUAACCUCGCGAAAGUGAGGGUAACACCUGAUAGGGAAAUCGUUCUGGAACGAUGUUUUCCCAGAAAUUCGUGCCUUAGGAUGGGCCGGCGGCAGAUUAGGCUGUUGGCGGUGUAAUGGACCACCAAACCGAAGAUCUGUACGGGCCAUGAGAGUGGGAGCCCGGAGAGGGACACUGAGAUACUGGUCCCAGCCCUACGGGGUGCAGCAGGCGCGAAACCUUUUCAAUGCGCGAAAGCGUGAGAAGGGAAUUCCAAGUGCUCAAGUUUUACUUGGGCUUUUGCCAAGUGUAAAAAGCUUGGCGAAUAAGGGGUGGGUAAGACUGGUGCCAGCCGCCGCGGUAACACCAGCGCCUCGAGUGGGGAUCGCGAUUAUUGGGUCUAAAGCGUCCGUAGCAGGCCUUGUAAAUGCUUUGUGAAAUUGUCCGGCAUAACCGGGCAGCGUGCAGAGUAGACUGCAGGGCUCGAGACCGGGAGAGGUUAGAAGUAUUCCUGGGGUACCGGUAAAAUGGGUUAAUCCUGGGAGGACUACCUAUGGCGAAGGCAUCUGACCAGAACGGUUCUGACUGUGAGGGACGAAAGCUAGGGGAGCAAAACGGAUUAGAUACCCGAGUAGUCCUAGCCGUAAACGCUGCGAGCAAGGUAUUGCGCCUCCCACGAGGAUGCGCAGUGUCGAAGAGAAGUCGUUAAGCUCGCCACCAGGGAAGUACGGUCGCAAGGCUGAAACUUUAAGGAAUUGGCGGGGGAGCGCCACAAGGGGUGCGGCGUGCGGUUCAAUCUAACUCAACGCAGAGAACCUCACUAGGCCCGACGGCAGGAUGAAGAUCAUGCUGAAGACAUUAUCUGACGAGCCGAGAGGUAGUGCAUGGCCGUCGCCAGCUCGUGCUGUGAAG
rnacentral:rRNA from 1 species